GAUGAACGCUGGCGGCGUGCCUAAUACAUGCAAGUCGAGCGAACCUAUCCUCAGCUUUCCUUUCUGACGUUUGCGACGGACGGGUGCGGACGGGGUAGUUACCCUACCUUAACCAACCGGUCAACUUCGGAAAACCCGUGGUAACAGCUGCUAAUACAUCAUAACACUUUAUUCAACAUGGCAUAACGGUUUAGGUCUCUUUUGUAGAUCGCUCCGCGCCGCAUUAGCGAGUUGGUAAGUUAACGGCUUACCAAGGCAACGAUGCGUAGCCGACCUGAGAGGGUGAUCGGCCACACUGGAACUGAGACACGGUCCAGACUCCUACGGGAGGCAGCAGUAGGGAAUCUUCGGCAAUGGGCGAAAGCCUGACGGAGCAACGCCGCGUGAGUGAUGAAGGUCUUCGGAUCGUAAAACUCUGUUAUUAGGGAAGAACAAGUGUGUAAGUAACUAUGCGCGUCUUGACGGUACCUAAACAGAAAGCCACGGCUAACUACGUG
rnacentral:rRNA from 1 species